ensembl:lncRNA
AGCAGGUCAAGAUCUGGCCUUAUAUGUGCUGAGGAGCCCUCUAAGAAGUGCUUCUCUGACUGUACAGUUCUCUUCUCUACAGCUGCUAAUGUCUGUGGGCUUGGGCUCACCAGUUCACUUGGGCAGGGUGUCCCUCCCAGUGAUCUGAGAUCUUCAGGCUCUUACCAGCUCCUUGUUUGCUUAAGGAUGCUCUUGGGAUAAAGGACUCUUGGGUGGGUGUCUUAGUUUCACUAUAUUUUUUUAAAGAAAUCCUUCAGAAUAAAAUGAAGGGCAAUUUGAAAAGGCUUCCAAUCUAGUUUUUACUCCUAUGGUUUUUCCUUUGUCUUGACAGUUAUGGCUCAGAAUCUAUAGCAGUAUUCAGCGUAGCCAUCAACAUCCCACUGCAGACAUUCCCAAGUAUCAAAUUUUCCAUCUGUAAAACCAGAAUAAUCUGAGCACGCUCCCAGAGAAGGGCUGCAGUGUGUGGGAAGUGCCCUGAAGCUGAUCCUACAGGGCGCGUUGUGAGAUGGCACCAAUGCUAACACGUCCUUUAACUUGGCAGGGUUAAAUGCGCUGAUGGCUGUUUGCCAUUGAUGUGGCCAUGCAGCCUUCUGAUCAGAAUAAGGCUUGGGGGCUCAUGGGGUCUACCCAUGACAUCGGGUAGACGUGCUCGGUGGUUUUUCACAGGGGGAGGUGCACUGGAAAUGCACAAUAUUAUGAAACGAAACCUCUCUUAAUUUCACCUGUCACUAGUAAUUAAAAUGUAAGUGCAGUGUUGCUAAUUGUGUUUUGAACAAUAUAAUUCUAAGAUAAAAUAAAUGCAAGCUCCAAGUGUUCAGCACAGCUCUAAGACAAGAAUUAAUGUGUUUCACCAGGGAAGGGGGACUUAUGCUGAUGGUGAGAAUCGGCGCUAUCUUUCUAAAGGCAAGAGCAGUUACAGACCCACUGUUCAUUACUUUGGAUGUGUCACAUUUGCUAGUAUGACAAGAUGUAUUAUGGACGAGGAAUUUUACAGAUGGAGAGAAACAUCCAUCGGUCGGACAGAAAUUUCAAGCAACAGUUCUUGGAAACCAUAUGGGGAUCAGCCUGGGAGUUCUGCAAGCUCUCCCAUGUAUUCCUGCAUACGUGCUAUGAUUUUUAUUGUCUGAACUCUAGUGGAUAAUUGAAGAAAAACUAUAUGGAAUUACAAAGGCUGUUUCCCAGCGCUCUGUUUUACAUACACACGCUAUAAAUACACGAUUUAACAUUCGCACACUUGAUUUUUCUUGCUUCUAUUAAAAAUGACGACAAGAUUUUAAAACAAAUGCAUUGUGCUGUAGCUUAAACAAAGAAUGGGACUGCGGGUCUCUUGCCCCCUCUGAACUCAGCAGUACUUUGUUGAUCAAACUUUACACAAAAACGGCUUCACCAUCACGUAUCUUGAACUGCUUGACUUCUCUCCACUUCCUAUACUGCAAACUGAAAUGGUAAAGCUGCUGUUGUUUGCCAUAACACAAGUUCAGGAUUGGACGUGCUCUGUACACUGGGCUCUCUUUUUGUGCUGGCGUCGUCAUGGGGGUCGAUGGAGAUCUAAGAGGGUAUUAAAAAGUGGUGAUUGUUGCAUGUGUUCCUCGCUUUCCGACAUCAAUCUCCUUCUGUAAAGGCAAGUUUAAUAACAGGCGUUUGUUGUACCGAAGUACUUCUAAAUGAACGGGUGAAGAUAAUCACAUGGUGAGGGCUGUCUUCUUCGGCCUGCAUGAUAACACUCCACUCAGGCCCUGGGACCGGACCGAGGUAAACUGACAUAGGGAUUAACUGACAAUAGCAAAGGCUAAUUUACAGAAACCACAUGAGGAGUUCCUGAGCACAGCCCAGAUAACAAAAAUAUUAUCAACACUGUUUACAGUGAAGUAAGUCAGUUUAUUAGUUGGAGUGCUUCAUUAUGUAUAAAAGAUGCCAAUGAUAGUCUCCUAGUCAAAAUAAACAGGCAUAAAGUGUUCCGCGUAUACA